UGCAACUCCUUAAGAACAAUACCUACCAAAC
rnacentral:piRNA from 1 species